UACGUAGGGUGCAAGCGUUAAUCGGAAUUACUGGGCGUAAAGCGUGCGCAGGCGGUUUUGUAAGGCUGUCGUGAAAGCCCCGGGCUCAACCUGGGAAUUGCGAUGGAGACUGCAAGGCUUGAAUCUGGCAGAGGGGGGUAGAAUUCCACGUGUAGCAGUGAAAUGCGUAGAGAUGUGGAGGAACACCGAUGGCGAAGGCAGCCCCCUGGGACCUGACUGACGCUCAUGUACGAAAGCGUGGGGAGCAAACAGG
rnacentral:rRNA from 1 species